rnacentral:rRNA from 1 species
GAGCACGUAGGUGGGUUUGUAAGUCAGAUGUGAAAGCCUUCUGUUCAACGGAAGAAUUGCAUCUGAAACUGCGAGUCUUGAGUGUAGGAGGGGAGAAUGGAAAUUCUGGUGGAGCGGUGAAAUGCGUAGAUAUCAGAAGGAACUCCGGCGGCGAAAGCGAUUCUCUGGCCUAUUACUGACACUCAGUGUGCGAAAGCUAGGGGAGCAAACGGGAUUAGAUACCCCGGUAGUCCUAGCCGUAAACGAUGGGCACUAAGUAGAGGGGUUUU